ACGUGGGUGGCAAGCGUUAUCCGGAUUUACUGGGUGUAAAGGGCGUGUAGGCGGUUUCGUAAGUCGGAUGUGAAAUUCCCAGGCUUAACCUGGGAGCUGCAUCCGAAACUACAGAACUUGAGUACUGGAGAGGAUAGUGGAAUUCCUAGUGUAGCGGUAAAAUGCGUAGAUAUUAGGAGGAACAGCAGUGGCGAAGGCGACUAUCUGGACAGUAACUGACGCUGAGGCGCGAGAGCGUGGGGAGCGAACAG
rnacentral:rRNA from 1 species